rnacentral:lncRNA from 1 species
GUAGCCUAUAGGGAAGGGCGUUGGAAGGAUCACCCAGAACUCAAGGGACCUGGCCGGAAGCCUGCAGGCUUGGUCAAGGCUUAGAGACUUGACUGAGGCCUGUGGAGGUGGAUGUGGCUAAAAUUUGACCGGGCAGCCUGUGGGCGUGGCUGAAGAGCAUGGGGGUGUGGUCAGAGCUGGAGGUGUGGCCGAAGAGUGUGGGGGCGUGGCCAGGGCGCCUGGUCUUAGACAAGCCCCUGGAUGGGAGUGCCACCAACAUGUUUCCAGCACUGGAGCCGUCCUUCUCUUCUCUAUGUGGGCCGGAAGCGGAUGCAGGUGGAGCACCCCGAGAAGGCUGUGCCUCGCGUGAGGAACCUGGUGGAGGCCGACUAUUCCUACUGGACCCUGGCCUACGUGAUCUCCCUGCAAGGCGCCCGCAAACUGCUGGCUGCUGAGCCGCUCUCCAAGAUGCUGCCUGUGGAC